UACGUAGGGGGCAAGCGUUGUCCGGAAUUAUUGGGCGUAAAGCGCGCGCAGGCGGUCAUUUAAGUCUGGUGUUUAAGCCCGGGGCUCAACCCCGGUUCGCAUCGGAAACUGGAUGACUUGAGUGUAGGAGAGGAAAGUGGAAUUCCACGUGUAGCGGUGAAAUGCGUAGAGAUGUGGAGGAACACCAGUGGCGAAGGCGACUUUCUGGCCUAUAACUGACGCUGAGGCGCGAAAAGCGUGGGGAGCAAACAGG
rnacentral:rRNA from 1 species